UUUAUUUUAAUUUUUUUUUUUCGAAAACUGUGUGAACUCCCCGUGGAGUUCACUGAUGCUGAUGCUCUGAGAGUGUAACCAAAUAGAUAGUAUCACUAAGAGUUUUCUUUCUUUUUUUUUGAAGAAAAUCAUUUUAUUAUAUCAAUUCCUAAACUAUAUUAGAAACGUUACACUCGUGAAUCGUUUUUUGCUUACUACUGUUUUCAAAACGUUGCAUUAUUUUAU
rnacentral:lncRNA from 1 species